UUUAAAUGCAAUCGUGGGUUUCAGUGUCCAACGUUUGACCGUUCGUCUAAUUUGAAAAUUUUUUUAUGAUUAAUAUUUUUAUUGUUAUUAGAUGAUAAAACAUUAAUAAUACUUUAUGUGUAGCUUAUUUUAAAAAUAUUUUUCGAAUAAGAUGAACGGUCAAACGUUAGACACUGAAAUCCACAACUACACUUAAU
rfam:Oryza glumipatula chromosome 2, whole genome shotgun sequence.